CCUACGGGUGGCAGCAGUGAGGAAUAUUGGUCAAUGGCCGUAAGGCUGAACCAGCCAAGUCGCGUGAAGGAAGAAGGAUCUCUGGUUGGUAAACUUCUUUUAUAGGGGAAUAAAGGUAUCCACGUGUGGAUCUUUGCAUGUACCCUAUGAAUAAGCAUCGGAUAACUCCGUGCCAGCAGCCGCGGUAAUCCGGAGGAUGCGAGCGUUCUGCGGAUUUAUUGUGUUUAACGGGUGCGUAGGUUGUUUUUUAAGUCAGCGGUGAAAGUUUGUGGCUCAACAAUAAAAUUGCAGUGGAAACUGGAAGACUUGAGUGUGUUUGAGGUAGGCGGAAUGCGUGGUGUAGCAGUGAAAUGCAUAGAUAUCACGCAGAACUCCGAUUGCGAAGGCAGCUUACUAAGCCAUAACUGACACUGAAGCACGAAAGCGUGGGGAUCAAACAGGAUUAGAUACCCGAGUAGUC
rnacentral:rRNA from 1 species